rnacentral:rRNA from 1 species
UAUUGCGAAGGCGAUNUGCUGGAACUUAACUGACGCUAAUGCGUGAAAGCGUGGGGAGCAANCAGGAUUAGAUACCCUGGUAGUNCACGCCCUAAACGAUGUAUACCGGUUGUUGCUGUGCUAGUCACGGCAGUAAUCCACCUAACGGAUUAAGUAUACCGCCUGGGGAGUACGGUCGCAAGAUUAAAACUCAAAGGAAUAGACGGGGACCCGCACAAGCGGUGGAGCAUGUGGUUUAAUUCGAAGAUACGCGAAGAACCUUACCCGGACUUGAUAUCUAACAAAUCAUCCAGAGAUGGAAGAGUGUCUGCUUGCAGAAAUGUUAAGACAGGUGCUGCACGGCUGUCGUCAGCUUGUGUCGUGAGAUGUUGGGUUAAGUCCCGCAACGAGCGCAACCCACGUCAUUAGUUGCUAACGGUUCGGCCGAGCACUCUAAUGAGACUGCCUUCGUAAGGAGGAGGAAGGUGUGGACGACGUCAAGUCAUCAUGGCCCUUAUGUCCGGGGCGACACACGUGCUACAAUGGCAUAUACAAUAAGACGCAAUAUCGUAAGAUGGAGCAAAUCUAAAAAAUAUGUCCCAGUUCGGAUUGGAGUCUGCAGCUCGACUCCAUGAAGCCGGAAUCGCUAGUAAUCGUAGAUCAGCCAUGCUACGGUGAAUACGUUCCCGGGUCUUGUACUCACCGCCCGUCACACCAUGGGAGUUGAUUUCAC